GCUGAAAAGGAAAGAGAGAGGAAAUCAGCUUUAUGAAAUAUGGGGAGGAAAUGUUAGAAUAACCAUUUAAGAUUAAUAGUGACAAGGAAUGGUGAAAAGGAAUGUUCAGUUUGAUUUUUUUUAAGAUUUCAAGACCAGCAUUUCUGAUUAACUGUCCCUGAGGUGCUGCCUACAUCAGGCAGCAGCCAGAAGCACUGGCUUGGUACAAACCCUUCAUGUCACCUGGCUACAGAGCAAAGGCCACCCUGGCUCAUGGAAGAACCCCACCAGGCAGACACAUUCUUGCUUCAGACACGGAAGGGCAAUGGGCAAGAGGGGAAAGAGUUCUCGGUUAGCACUGUGGACGGUAAGGAGGGUGACACACAGGCGAGCAGUGCGGCUGAGUGCGAAGCCUCUUCCUCCCCACCCCAUUCCUGUGGCUGGCUGAGCGGUGGUGGCUUUGACAAAAUUGGUGGUUAUGUUAAAAAGGCAACAGCUGAUUUGGCCGACUUAGCCCAUGGGCGCUGCAGACCCCUCUGGCUCUAGGCAGUGGGGAGCCGCUUUACAGACCCCGAGCUAAUGCCUGUGGUCUCAUAUUCCAGAAGGUCUGCCGCCUAAAGGACAUUCAGGGAGCUGAGGCCCCUGAGGGUGAUGUGAUAGCAGCUGCUUGCGGGGAGGCUGGCACUCGCCCUGCUUGUCUGUGAGCUCACGCAGCUCUCUAUAGAAAGUAUCACCUGCACUGUGCAGAUGAGCGCCUUGAGGAUGUGUGAUGUCGCCAUCUUUUAGGCAAAGGCCUAACCAAGAAGCCGUGCAAGGCCUACCUGCCCAUCGGUGAGAACACGAACAAGUUCUGGUAGGUCUGAAAAGGACACCGGUACUGAUGGCGGCAAAAGCAGAGGCCGCCUGGGAAUUUCCUGCAGGUGCUGGGUGAGGAUGGGUCUGGUCUGGGCACCUGCCCCUCACUGUGGGAGGCCCGAGGCCCUGGAUGCGUCCACAACAGUACAACUGCUGAGGAGGCGCUGAUGUGGCAAAGCCUGAAGCAGAGGGCACAAGGGGAUGCUCCUAGCUGCCUGGGCUGAGGGAAGCGGGUGCUGAAACUGCCUCCAGGCUGGAUGGGCCUGAAGCUGAGAAACCACAAGGCAACAGCCUGCCCAGGCUGAUCUGGAGCUGUGCAUUUCUCCGACAGCAGCAAACAAUAUUUAACUUCUUUUGUAAAGGUUACUACUUUGAGGAACCAAGUCAGGAAAAGCGGACUAUUGGGCUCUCCCUGACAUCUGGCUGUGCCACUGACCAAGGCAGCGCAUGGAGCCUACAGAUGUCACACCUCGCGUCAGCUAACCCAGCCCCCGUGUGCACAGGUACCACGCAUCAUACACUUGCUGCACUCAGAGACUGUCACAGAGCACAGCAGUGCAUGACACAAGGGGCUUUUUCAUGUCACACAGCUAGCUCACUCGGUGGCAGUCACCUUUAGGCUAAAGCAUCUGGAUUCCAGGGAAUACUCACGUUAGUUGAUGAUGUUGGAAGGCAUUGGAGGAAAACACCAUAGUUAGGACAGUUAAUGGCUUACACACUGUUGGUAAGACUGAUCUCGAACAUGCGCAAACAUUUAUCAUAGUAACAUGGUGUUGGUUAGUGCCACAUUCAAAUAAAAAUAGUUCUAUACAAUA